UGCAUAACACAUGCAAGUCGAGCGGAGUAUCUGCGAUUACAUCAAGGGUACUUAGCGGCAGACGAGUGAGUAACACGUAAGAAAUCUACCCCGGAGCGGGGAAUAACCAGCCGAAAGGUUGGCUAAUACCCCGUACGACCCAGGAGGGACAUCCCUCUUGGAUGAAAGGCCCGCAAGGGUCGCUCUGGGAGGAUCUUGCGGCCUAUCAGCUAGUUGGCGGUGUAACGGACCACCAAGGCGACGACGGGUAGCCGGCCUGAAAGGGCGAUCGGCCACGGAGGCACUGAGACACGGGCCUCACUUCUACGGAAGGCAGCAGUGGGGAAUUUUGGACAAUGGGCGAAAGCCUGAUCCAGCAACGCUGCGUGGGGGACGAAGGUCUUCGGAUUGUAAACCCC
rnacentral:rRNA from 1 species